AACGUACGCUGGCGGCACGCCUAACACAUGCAAGUCGAACGAAGUAGCAAUACUUAGUGGCAGACGGGUGAGUAACAUGUGGGUAUCUGCCCUUUGGCCUGGAAUAACACGAGGAAACUUGUGCUAAUACCGGAUAAGUCUUUACGGAGAAAGCUUUAUGCACCAUUGGAUGAGCCCGCACUUGAUUAGUUUGUUGGUAGGGUAAUGGCCUACCAAGACUGUGAUCAAUAGCUGAUUUGAGAGGAUGAUCAGCCACAUUGGGACUGAGACACGGCCCAAACUCCUACGGGAGGCAGCAGUGGGGAAUCUUGCACAAUGGAGGAAACUCUGAUGCAGCGAUGCCGCGUGAGUGAAGAAGGCCUUUGGGUUGUAAAGCUCUUUCGUCGGGGAAGAAAAUGACUGUACCCGAAUAAGAAGGUCCGGCUAACUUCGUGCCAGCAGCCGCGGUAAUACGAAGGGACCUAGCGUAGUUCGGAAUUACUGGGCUUAAAGAGUUCGUAGGUGGUUGAAAAAGUUGGUGGUGAAAUCCCAGAGCUUAACUCUGGAACUGCCAUCAAAACUUUUCAGCUAGAGUUUGAUAGAGGAAAGCAGAAUUUCUAGUGUAGAGGUGAAAUUCGUAGAUAUUAGAAAGAAUACCAAUUGCGAAGGCAGCUUUCUGGAUCAUUACUGACACUGAGGAACGAAAGCAUGGGUAGCGAAGAGGAUUAGAUACCCUCGUAGUCCAUGCCGUAAACGAUGUGUGUUAGACGUUGGAAAUUUAUUUUCAGUGUCGCAGCGAAAGCGAUAAACACACCGCCUGGGGAGUACGACCGCAAGGUUA
rnacentral:rRNA from 1 species